AUUCUGCACAGCAAAAAUAACAUUAAGAAUCUGUGGUUAAUUGCUUCAGUUUGGAGAGAUGGCCAAAUUCACAAAAUCUGCAAUCUUACCUCUGCCCUUUGCCUAUAUUUUUUGUCUUUCCAUCUGCCUUUCUGUCUGUUUUUCCUGUCUUACUACAUACUUCCCAGUAUUUUGCCUCAUACUUCUUGUUACAGUGUCAUCUCUAUUCUGGCUCUUAUGUCAAGAUCGAAGGUCUUUCCCUAGGCUUUGUUAGCCAUUUAUGAUUGAAUAGGCCUAUCACUCAGUAAAAAGUGUGCUGGGUUUGUGCUGAGCAGCAGUUCUCUAAUGCCUUCUUUAUCAGGAUAAACUGAUACAAUUUGGGCUAUUUCCUUUGAGUCAUGAACCUGGAGUUCUGGCUGAGAAGUAUUUUAAGUAAAACAAAUAGAAUCAGUCCUUAAAUUGAUGGGCUUGGGAAGUGGGAGCAAGUGUAAAAGUCUCAAAGUAGAAGUGGAAUUCAGAAUAUUUUUUACCCAGUCUCCCUGGAAAGGAAUGGGAGAAAAGGAGUCUAACAUGCUUCCAGAAAAACAAGCAGGAUGUGCUGAAAGCUUUCUUAAAUAGAUGCUUUUGGAAGCUUUGUUUAGAGGAUAUUGCCACUACUAUGCAAAGGAGAAUAUGCCACGGAGGAAUGACACAAGAAAUUGUGUCCAGCCCAAAAUACUGACAUGGUAUGGACUCCUGGAAGAAGCAAGUGGAGGGUGGCCUUUCUAAGGUACAUAAUGCACUAAUCUUCCUUGGAACUGUUAUGCUGAAGUUCAGCGUGGAAAAAGUGAACUUUGAGAACAAAGGUGGAGCUCUUUAGGUCUUUAGGUGGAAGACUGGAGAAGUCUUGUUAAGUGCAUCUGAGAUACUUGUGUAGAAAGUGUAGUUGUCAGAUAAAGUCUCAGCCUGGGAAUGUGCCCAUGGGUUUUCAUUUCAGAAAUAACUACAGUGUCAGCAAGGCAGACGGGCUGAAUCACUGUGCUCACACUGGCAUGUGGUGGACUCAAAACCACACAGUGUAGCAGUGCUUUCUUCCAUUUUACAGCUUUCAAAUAACCUGCAGCUGUCAAGCAUGCAUUUCCCUUUACUGAAUGUCAUUAUUGCAUCACAACAUGCUCACUGUUAGAAGUACGCGUGUUUAAAAUGUCAGCUAUGGGUUGGUCUGCAUAAAAUCAGAACAGUGAACAGGAGAGCUAGGAGGAUGAGGGAGCCAGAGGGGGGAAAUCUGAUGGGGAAGCUGGGGGAAAGAAUCUGAAGAAGGGAGGGAGCACCUGCUGCAUACUGCUUGCAUGCAUCUAGCAGUGGAAAAAUUGUUGCAGACCUUUAAACAUCAAGAAGACUUCUCCUGUAUCACAGCUGUGGACUAAACAUAACAUGGAAAGUAAAUGCAGGACACUUAAAGUAGCGGUGAAGUUGGAUGCCAAGAAAGAAGUAUGUUCUUCGUGCAGAUGAUGCUUUGCUUCUACAGCAAUAUCCAGCAAGAGCAGCGGAUCUGUUAAUAGCUUUCCAUUGGCAGCACAGAAAAUUAACUAGGGGGAAAAAAACUUAGAGCCAACACCAUGCCCUUGAAUAGCCCCUUUCCAACAGCACUUUAUGGCUUCUCCUUAGCAGAGAUUUCAUAAAUAUUGAGGAUGUAUUUAUCAUCACAGAUCGAUGUCAGCUGUAGUUAGGAUGGAGAUGUACUUCAGUCUGGGCAGAACGUAAGUCAUUUGUGGCAAAAAAAAUAAAUAAAUGAUGCAAUGGAUGGGAACUUCUUUGCUAUAAGAACAGACUGAGAGAGCUGAGGCUGUUCAGCCAGGAGAAGAGAAGAUUCCAGGGAGACCUGAGAGUGGCCUUUCAGUAUCUAAAGAGAAGACAGAGUCUGUUGUGAUGGGACAAGGGGAAAUAGUUUGAAACUACAAGGGGGGAGAAUGAGAUUGGAUAUAAAUAAGUUUUUUAAUGAUAAGGAUGGUGAUGUAGUGGCAAAGGUUGCACAGAGAGGUGGUGGAUGUCACAAAGACAUCCAAGGUCAGGCAAGGACAGGGUUCUUAGCAGCCUGAUAGAGCUGGAGAUGUCUCUGGACUCGCUUCCAACUCAAGUGAUUGUAUGAUUCUUUGACCUUGGAGAGAACAACUUGUCUAUACUAUGUCUUCCUUUGUGCUCACAGCUCUCUUCCAGAGGAAGGCCUUCUUGAUGGUUGGAUCUUAUAUGUCACCCAGCAUAGUCAUGUUGCAAUAGUCUCAUGCUAUCAUUUUAUUGCAACUGUCCUGUAGGUAUGGCAUAGUCAUCUAUUCCCCCAGAUUCCUUCUCUGAAGGAAGACUGUUCAUCUGUCUGCUCCUUUUCCUGGCUUGCCUCCAUCUGCUUCUGAGCACUGUGGCAAAGUGUGCCUCUUUAUGCUUUAAAAGUAGAUUGGGUAGGUUGGGUUAAAUGCUGGAGACUGUUAUUCAAUUGUAAGUUGAUAUCUGUGCCAAAAUUGUUCUAGAAAGUUCCCAGUUGGGUGUUGGGGCAGGGCAGUGUCACACAGGGUUCCUUCUGUUACUUCAGGGCUGCAAAAAGGCCAGGAGAUCUGGGACAAAUUACUUAAUUUUCUCCAUAUAUAUAUAAAGAAUGCACCAAAUUUGUGCUUUGCAGCUAUACUGAAAACUUUCAGCUUUCUAAUGGCCGUUGAGCUGAUGCAUUGAAGUAAUCAAUACAAUAUGCUUAGGCUGGGAAAUAUCUUGUUCAAAUAACUUGUUAUAGCCUGUAGUUGUUCUCUGAUCUGACUGUGGGCCUGUUCAAUUGGAGCCAUUUAAUUUCAUCAGAAGUUUCUCAGUUGUUGUGGUGUGGAAUGUCAUUAAUGACCCUCAGAAGGAUGCUCAGUUUAAAGACAUUAGCACAGUCAAAAGCUUACACAUUGCUUGAGAUAACCUUGAAAAGACAACCGAUUAUUGCAAGUUUUGUUCUCUCUUACAAACCUGAGG